AGUGAACGCUGGCGGUAGGCCUAACACAUGCAAGUCGAACGGCAGCACAGUAAGAGCUUGCUCUUACGGGUGGCGAGUGGCGGACGGGUGAGGAAUACAUCGGAAUCUACUUUUUCGUGGGGGAUAACGUAGGGAAACUUACGCUAAUACCUCAUACGAUCUACGGGUGAAAGCAGGGGAUCUUCGGACCUUGCGCGAUUGAAUGAGCCGAUGUCGGAUUAGCUAGUUGGCGGGGUAAAGGCCCACCAAGUCGACGAUCCGUAGCUGGCCUGAGAGGAUGAUCAGCCACACUGGAACUGAGCCACGGUCCAGACUCCUACGGGAGGCAGCAGUGGGGAAUAUUGGACAAUGGACGCAAGCCUGAUCCAGCCAUACCGCGUGGGUGAAGAAGGCCUUCGGGUUGUAAAGCCCUUUUGUGGGGAAAGAAAAGCAGCAGGUUAAUACCCCGCUGUUCUGACGGUACCCAAAGAAUAAGCUCCGGCUAACUUCGUG
rnacentral:rRNA from 1 species